rnacentral:rRNA from 1 species
GACGAACGCUGGCGGCGUGCUUAAUACAUGCCAGUCGAACGAACGGACGCUGCGCUUGCUUCUCUGACGUUAGGCGCGGACGGGUGUAUAACACGAGGAUACUCUCCUCGUCAUACUGGGAUCAUUUCGAGAAUCCGGCUAUAAUACGGGAGAAUCUUCUGCACCGUGUGGUUCAAAAGUGAAAUACGGCCUUUGUGUAUCGUCUCGCUGCUUCCUAGCUGCAUUAGCUAGUUGGUAAGGAAACGGCUUACCAAGGCAAGUAUGCCUAGCCGACCUGAGGGGGGGAUCGGCCACACUGGAACUGAGACACGGUCCAGACUCCUACGGGAGGCAGCAGUAGGGAACCUUCCGCAAUGGGCGAAAGCCUGACGGAGCAACGCCGCGUGAGUGAUGAAGGUCUUCCGAUCGUAAAACUCGGUUAUUAGGGAAGAACAUAUGUGUAAGUAACUGUGCACAUCUUGACGGUACCUAAUCAGAAAGCCACGGCUAACUACGUG